rnacentral:rRNA from 1 species
GACGUAGGGGGCCAGCGUUGUUCGGAAUUACUGGGUGUAAAGGGUUCGUAGGCGGUGUGGCAAGUCGGGAGUGAAAUCUCUGGGCUCAACUCAGAGACUGCUUCCGAAACUGCUGUGCUGGAGUGUGGGAGAGGCGCGUGGAAUUGCAGGUGUAGCGGUGAAAUGCGUAGAUAUCUGCAGGAACACCCGUGGCGAAAGCGGCGCGCUGGACCACUACUGACGCUGAGGAACGAAGGUCAGGGGAGCAAACGGG